CAGUCGAGCGAAGCGCUUAAGUUUGAUUCUCCGGAUGAAGACUUUUGUGACUGACCGGCGGACGGGUGAGUAACGCGUGGGUAACCUGCCUCAUACAGGGGGAUAACAGUUAGAAAUGACUGCUAAUACCGCAUAAGACCACAGUACCGCAUGGUACAGUGGUAAAAACUCCGGUGGUAUGAGAUGGACCCGCGUCUGAUUAGGUAGUUGGUGGGGUAACGGCCUACCAAGCCGACGAUCAGUAGCCGACCUGAGAGGGUGACCGGCCACAUUGGGACUGAGACACGGCCCAGACUCCUACGGGAGGCAGCGGUGGGGAAUAUUGCACAAUGGAGGAAACUCUGAUGCAGCGACGCCGCGUGAAGGAUGAAGUAUUUCGGUAUGUAAACUUCUGUCAGCAGGGGAGAAAAUGACGGUACCUGACUAAGAAGCCCCGGCUAACUACGUGCCAGCAGCCGCGGUAAUACGUAGGGGGCAAGCGUUAUCCGGAUUUACUGGGUGUAAAGGGAGCGUAGACGGCACGGCAAGCCAGAUGUGAAAGCCCGGGGCUCAACCCCGGGACUGCAUUUGGAACUGCUGAGCUAGAGUGUCGGAGAGGCAAGUGGAAUUCCUAGUGUAGCGGUGAAAUGCGUAGAUAUUAGGAGGAACACCAGUGGCGAAGG
rnacentral:rRNA from 1 species